rnacentral:snRNA from 1 species
GUGUUCACUUCGGCAGCACAUAUACCACAAUUGGAACAAUACAGAGAUUAGCACGGUCCCUGUGCAAGGAUGACGUGCAAAUUUGUGAAGCAUUAAAAAAGAAA